CAGAGAUCGUAGAUUGGUUUCCCAAUGACAUCAUCAGAGGACCAAUCACAAAGCUGGGAGAUCCUUACAUGAACAAGCAAAGAGAGGUCAAAUUAUUUUUUCCAUUCAAAGGUAUAAACAAUUAAGUAUCAAGUUCUGUGAUGGUGGGAGGGGGCAGAGCCACAGCCAUUCCAACCAGUCCCAACACGUGGGACGGCAACUUCCUGUUGACGCCAAAACAUGGCUGAGGUCGGAUGUGUCCCGUGAUGUAUACCACCUGAUGUUAGAGGAAUCAGAAACGUUAAUCCUAAUCUAUUAACUUGAAGAAAUGAUUUAAAUGCACUUUUACGUGAUAAAUACAAAUUGACAGAUGGAUUUCGUUUGCCGCUGAAUUCUAACUGUACCUCCCAAAAGCCUCGUAAUCCACGUCAGAGUACUGAAAACAGUUGGAGAAAAUCACUGCUCCCUCCAUCGCUAACCGGCUUCCCUCCUGUACUAUCAUCGAUGGACCCAGGCAGAAAAAAAGAGAAGAGAGAGAAAACAACGUGGAUUUAAUCAGACAAUAAUCACGGCCAUCAUUGUCAAUAGUGCAAUCAGAUAGGCGUUCCAAUGACGCUCUCCAAAAUAGUGCAGUGUAUUGAUCCCGAGCCACCGGAACAGUGCAAGCCACCCCGAAAAAAAACCCCCAACAGAAAACAAAACACGUGGAAAUCUUUCAAGUCAAUGAAGAUCUCUCGAGUCCUUCGCAACACGUUCACAUCUAUAAUGCACUGUAUGGCGCCUCAAGAUCUCAUUAAUAGCGAAACCUCGUAGUGCUAAAGCAGCCAUUUCCUUACAAGUUCAAGAUAUCAUCAUCUUUGAUUUAUAAAAACGAUGGUGAUGCUACUGCUGCAUUACAUUUGCCCUUUUAUUUAGUUACGAUUUUCAUAAAUUAUUAAACCAUAUGAUCUCUU